rnacentral:rRNA from 1 species
UGGGGAAUAUUGCACAAUGGGCGAAAGCCUGAUGCAGCAACGCCGCGUGAGUGAUGAAGGCCUUCGGGUUGUAAAGCUCUGUCUUUUGGGACGAUAAUGACGGUACCAAAGGAGGAAGCCACGGCUAACUACGUGCCAGCAGCCGCGGUAAUACGUAGGUGGUGAGCGUUGUCCGGAUUUACUGGGCGUAAAGGAUGCGUAGGCGGAUAUUUAAGUGAGAUGUGAAAUACCCGAGCUUAACUUGGGUGCUGCAUUUCAAACUGGAUAUCUAGAGUGCGGGAGAGGAGAAUGGAAUUCCUAGUGUAGCGGCGAAAUGCGUAGAGAUUAGGAAGAACACCAGUGGCGAAGGCGAUUCCCUGGACCGUAACUGACGCUGAGGCAUGAAAGCGUGGGUAGCAAACA